rnacentral:lncRNA from 1 species
GGGGUGCGACUUGAUGGAAAAUUAAGUAACGUGCCAAAUGAUGUGGUGCUGCUGCUGACGUCAUUCUUUCGGUCAAACACUGGAAAUGACGCUAUUUUAGAGUGGACAUUGAAGAUAAGUCAAGCAGAAAUGAGCCUCGGAAAGAGUGAUGAUGGAAGAGUAGGACUAAUACCCUUAAUAGUCACUUAUUUCAAGGAUGACCUCAAUCAAAUGAUACAAGUGCAUGAGGCAUCUACUGAGAUGACAGCCGAUUUCCUUGACAACCUUCCAGUUUGUCCACUUGUAGUUGCGCUCGCUCUUCUGAUGGCCCAAGCAACA